GACAGAGGGUGCAAACGUUGUUCGGAAUUACUGGGCGUAAAGCGUGUGUAGGCGGUUUCGUAAGUCGGAUGUGAAAGCCCCAGGCUCAACCUGGGAAGUGCACUCGAUACUGCGGAACUCGAGUAUCGGAGAGGUUGGUGGAAUUCUCGGUGUAGAGGUGAAAUUCGUAGAUAUCGAGAGGAACACCGGUGGCGAAGGCGGCCAACUGGACGAAUACUGACGCUGAGACACGAAAGCGUGGGGAGCAAACAGG
rnacentral:rRNA from 1 species